GACGAACGCUGGCGGCGUGCCUAAUACAUGCAAGUAGAACGCUGAAGAGAGGAGCUUGCUCUUCUUGGAUGAGUUGCGAACGGGUGAGUAACGCGUAGGUAACCUGCCUUGUAGCGGGGGAUAACUAUUGGAAGCGAUAGCUAAUACCGCAUAACAAUGGAUGACACAUGUCAUUUAUUUGAAAGGGGCAAUUGCUCCACUACAAGAUGGACCUGCGUUGUAUUAGCUAGUAGGUGAGGUAAUGGCUCACCUAGGCGACGAUACAUAGCCGACCUGAGAGGGUGAUCGGCCACACUGGGACUGAGACACGGCCCAGACUCCUACGGGAGGCAGCAGUAGGGAAUCUUCGGCAAUGGGGGCAACCCUGACCGAGCAACGCCGCGUGAGUGAAGAAGGUUUUCGGAUCGUAAAGCUCUGUUGUAAGUCAAGAACGGGUGUGAGAGUGGAAAGUUCACACUGUGACGGUAGCUUACCAGAAAGGGACGGCUAACUACGUG
rnacentral:rRNA from 1 species